rnacentral:lncRNA from 1 species
GAUGCUAUGAGCCUAUGACCUAUUGCCUUUUGGUAGCAUAUGCACGGAUAUUAGUCAACCUUGCUGUUCAGUUUCAAUGGAGUGCUCUGAUAAGCUUAAGGGCAUCCAUGCAUAGUUUUUGAUUGCUUAUCAUAUCAUACUACUCGAUAGCUGAUUUGUCCUGCUCAGGUUUACAACUCGAUCGAUCGGCAUUCAUGAUAGAUCAAUCAAUUUAACAAAAAGCUGCUUAGAGGCUUA